AGCGAAGUGGCGCAGAGGUAGCGUGCCUGGCCCACAACCAGGAGGACACUGGAUCGAAACCAGUGUUCGCUG
rnacentral:tRNA from 1 species